rnacentral:lncRNA from 10 species
GAAAAGUUGCAAAAACAGCAAACAGUUGCUGCACACACUUCAUCCAGCAUUCUUCAUGUCAACAUCUUUUAUAACCAUCAGAGUUAUCAAAACUAAGAAAUGAACUUUGGUACAAUAUGAUUAACUAAACUAGAUUUUAUCUGCAUUUUACCAGUUUCUCCACUACAUUGCAUUUUCUGUUCAGGGUCAAAUUCAGGAUUUCACAUUGCAUUGUCUCCUCCAAUCUAUGGCAGUUCAUCCAUUCUUUUAUGUCUUUGAUAAUCUUGACACCUUGAAGAGCACUGAUCAGUUAUUUUGUAUAAUGUAGCUCACCAGUUUUCCCAUUAAUGUCCUUUUCAUGUUCCAGGAUGCAAUCCAGAAUAUUAUGUCACAUUUAGUCAUCAUAUCUUAUUUGCUUCCAAUCUAUGGAAAUUUAUUAAUGUUUCCUUGUUUUUCAUGAUCUCAAUAAUUUUAAAGAUAAAUGGUCAAGUACUUUGUAGAAUACCCCCCAAUUUGGGUUUGUGUAAUGUUUUCUCAUAAUUAGACUGGGAUUAUAUAUUUUGGGGAAGGAUAGCACAGAGGUGAAGUGCGUUUCUUAUGACACAGUAUAAGGGGUUCAAGAUAUGAACAUAAACUUACCAGUGAUGUUAGUCUUGAUUCCUUGGUUAAGGAGAUUUCUGCCAGGUUUCUCCACUGUAAGCUACUUUAAGAAGUAUUUUAUCGAUAUAAUUGUAGAAUCAGAUGAAGUUGUAAAUACAGAGAGGUCCUGUGAAACUCUCACUCAAUUUUUUCUAAUGGAUACAUCUUAUGUAACUAUAGUACUAUACCAACAUCAGGAAAUUGGCAUUGGUGCAAAGCAUAUGUGUAAUUCUAUGCCAUUUAAUCACGUCUGUAUUCUUGUAACCACCACUGCAAUCCAGAAAUGGAACUAUUCCAUCACCACAAAUAUCUUCCUUAUGCUACCUCUUUAUAGUCACAACUCCCCUCACCAACACUGCUAACCUUUGUACAGCACCAAUCAGUUCUCCAUCUUUUUAUCAUUUUUGAGACUAUUAUAUAAAUGGAAUCACAUACUGUCCUUACAGUAUGUGAUUGUAAGGACAAUGGCUGUGCUGCAGUCAAGUAUAGGCUGAGGUACACAUCCUGCACAGUAUGACACAGUGGGAUUGGAGCACAGGCGCACAAUCCCAUGCAUUACAUAAUCACAGCUAUGUAGCCAUAACGUGGGAGGGCUCAUCACCUGCCUCUGAGCCAUUAUGGUCUGUGAGGUGCAUAAAUGCAGCACCGACAGUGUGAAGAAACUGCUGAAUAAAGCCAUGUCCCACCUACCUGGAACCUAACAGUGACCUUUUGAGAUUGCCUUUUUUCAUUCAGCAUAAUGCCAAUGAGAUCCAUCCAAGUUGUAUAUAUCAGUAGUUCAUUCUUUUUUUUUAAUCACUGAGUAGUAUUCCAUGGUAUGGAUGUACCAUAAUUUUUUUAACCAUUCACCUAUUAACCAAACACCUGGGUUGUUUCUGUUUUUUGAUCAUUGAAAACAGCUCUGCUAUGAACGAAUUUCAUGUACAGGUUUUUGUAUGGAUGUAUGUUUUCAUUUCUCUGAGAUACACACCCAGUAAUAUGAUUGCUGAAUAGUAUAGUAGGUGUAUUAUUAGUUUUGUAAGAAACCACUAAACCAUUUUCCAGAGUGGUCAUACUAUUACCCAUAAGCAAUGUGGAAAGAUCCAUGCAUGGAGGUAUAGUAAUAUCACAUUAUGGUAUUAACUUAUAUUUCUUUAAUGGUGAUGUUGAUUGAACAACUUUUCAUGUGCCUAUUUGUCAUCUGUAUAUCUUCUUCAGUGAAAUGUCUGUUGCUGUUUGUUGCUUAUUUUCUAAUAGGAUUUUUUUUACUCUAUUGAGUUUUGAGAGUUAUUUAUAUAUUCUUUGUUGGAUAUGAUUUACAAAUACUUUCUUCCAGUUUAUAGCUUGUAUUUUCAUAUUUAAAAGGAUGUUUCAUAAAAACUUCCACAGAAAGUUUUUAACUUUGAUGAGUUCCAAUUUACCAAUUACUUUUUCCUUUUAUGGAUCAUGCUUUUGGUGUCAAGUCUAAGAAUCUGUUGCCUAGCCUUAGAGCUGGAAGAUUUUUUCCAGUUUUCUAAAAUAUGUUUAGUUUUAUGUUUUAAAAACUUACAUGAUCCAUUUUGAGUAAAUGUCUACAUAAGGUGUAAGGCUUAAGUUGAACUUUGUUUGUGUUGCCUAUGAAUAUCCAGUUGUUCCAACACAGCACCAUUUGUUGAAAAGUCUAUCCUUCCUUCAUUGAAUCACCUUUGCAUCUUUGUUAAAAUUCAGUUGGGAAUAUUUAUGUGGGUCUAUUUCUGGGUUCUCUAUUCUGUUCCAUUGACCUAUAUAUCUAACUCAUCUGGCAAUACUGCAUGGUCUUGGUUACCACAGCUAUGUAGUUAGCCUUAAUGUUAGGUAGACCGAUUCCUCCAACUUUAUUACUCUUUUUCAAAAUUGUUCUAGUUAUUCUAGGACCUGUGUCUUUUCAUAUAAAUUUUGGAAUAUUACUCUGAUUUAAGUUCUGACAAGAUCGUGGAAAUCAUCACUCCCAUCCUUACAAGAAGAAGCUGGACAAACUUAAAAUCAAUGACUUUUCAUGAAUCCUUCAGACAAAUGAGGUUGUAGGGCAAACCACCACCCUGAAAUCUAGAGAGUCAGGAACAUCCAGAGAGACAUAGCUGCAAUUUGCUUGCUUGGACCAGAGUCACUGGAGUCACAAACUAGGAAUACCAAAACUGGUAAUUUUAACAAAUUGCUGCAGGCUGAGUGUAGACUACUAUGAGAAUGACAAAUUGAGGACUGCAGGCAUAGGGAAAACCCCAACAUUUUGUUGUCUUUACCUUCAAAAAAAUCCAACAAGUUCUUACAGUAAAGAUCUGAGUAAAAUUAUCUUGUGGGUCUGUCGGCGAGAGUAAAAAAUAAUCAUUGUGAUAUAUGCCUUCCCCUUAACAUAGGACAACUUUACAGGGGAAAAGAUUUUUCUAGGGCCUUAUCUGAGCUGGGGAAGGGCAUUGCUCCUACCUACUCCAGUCCCCUCUAGCAAAACUGCAGAAAACCAAAGGAAAAAAACCUUGAAAGACAAGAGAGGGAGAGAAAACAACUUAUAAAGGAAUAAGGAUAAGAAUUACAUCAGGCUUCUCAAGGAAACAUGCAAAAAAGAAGAGAGUACAGUGAAAUAUUUAGUCUUGAAAGAAAAAAAAACCAGCAAACCGCAAUUCUAUAUCCAGUGAAAGUAUCCUUCAGAAGUGAAAAUGAAACAGUUUUCUCAGAAAAACAAAACAAAAACUGACAGAAAUGAAAACCAACUGGCCCUGCAAGAAAUGUUAAAAGGAGUUCUUUAGGGGGAAAAGGUUAUAGUGAUCAGAAACUCAGUUCUACAGAAAGAAAGGAUGAGUGUAGACUGUUGGAGAAGGAAUAUAUGAAGGAGAAGAGAUAUUCCCAAGAGUUUCUUUCAAAUUAAGAGAUAAAAAGCGGAAGAAGUAAAACAGAGAAGUGAAGGAAAGAAAAAAACACCAUAAAAUGCCAUUUCUUCUGCCUUAGCAAGGUCAGUUCAACACAGUAUGUCUCUCCUCUUGCUUCCUUUCUAAUCUCACUCCUUAGAUCACGUAUAAAGUAUUUAGCUUUAUUACUUUUAUUAAGACAU